AGGGUCAANGAGACGGGAUCGAAUACGACGAGUAUGUGGCCAUCAUGACCAAACUCCUGAUCCUCAGAGAUCGUUUCAAUACUCAUCAGCUGAGGUUACCGUGUGACUGCCAGGUGGCCAGCUUCUCAUACAAGCAGUUCAUGAAAUCAGCCAUAAUCUGAGGAUCAAAUGGAAGCUGAAUGGAUCAAAGGAGGGUUUUUCUUAUUAGCACAGAUGUUAAGAGCUGUCAUUUAUUUCCUACAUUCACACAUCUUCAUCCUUCACUCUUCAAGGAGAUAUUAAACACUGAGAAUAAGUUGUUGAGAGUUCAAGAUUUUCUUAUCAAUGUCUGAAGUUUGUGUUUUUUGGUUAACGUGUUAAUUCUGUACAAUGACUUCCCACUUACAAUAAAAGGUAAUUGGUUGAAAUAGUCUUUAUUUUUAUUUUGCAAAGAGAAAUCUUAAAAAUUACAAGUAAAAUUAAGAGUGAACAGAAGUGAAAAAUGACAACAAUUCAAA